CUGUACUGUACUGUACUGUACUGUACAGUACAGUACAGUACAGUACAGUACAGUACAGUACAGUACAG